rnacentral:rRNA from 1 species
UACGUAGGGUGCAAGCGUUGUCCGGAAUUAUUGGGCGUAAAGAGCUCGUAGGCGGUCUGUCACGUCGGCUGUGAAAUCCCGAGGCUCAACCUCGGGUCUGCAGUCGAUACGGGCAAACUUGAGUGUUGCAGGGGAGACUGGAAUUCCUGGUGUAGCGGUGAAAUGCGCAGAUAUCAGGAGGAACACCGGUGGCGAAGGCGGGUCUCUGGGCAACAACUGACGCUGAGGAGCGAAAGCGUGGGGAGCGAACGGG